rnacentral:tRNA from 1 species
GCGGGUAUAGUUUAAUGGUAAAAUGUCAGCUUCCCAAGCUGAAGAUGCGGGUUCGAUUCACGCUAUCCGCUUAU